rnacentral:rRNA from 1 species
UACGUAGGGCGCAAGCGUUGUCCCGGAAUUAUUUGGGGCGUAAAAGAGCUCGUAGGCGGUCUGUUACGUCCGCUGUGAAAAACCCCAGGGCUUAACCCUGGGCUUGCAGGUGGAUACGGGUAGACUAGAGGCAGGUAGGGGAGAAUGGAAUUCCCGGUGUAGCGGUGAAAUGCGCAGAUAUCGGGAAGGAACACCGGUGGCGAAGGCGGUUCUCUGGGCCUGACCUGACGCUG